rnacentral:rRNA from 1 species
AUCAUGGAGAGUUUGAUCCUGGCUCAGAACGAACGCUGGCGGCGCGUCUUAAGCAUGCAAGUCGAGCGGCAAGGGGUAGCAAUA